GGUCAUGUUAGCCUGUAGGGUUGAACCGACAUGCUAUGCUAGGCGGCUGAAAGAGAUAAGCUAAGGGGAAACGGUUAUAACUUAUCUGGGUCUACAUUCGUGUUUCGGACUGUUUCACCUUCUGAUGAUGGACCGAAAGGAAUUAUCUGGAUUCUUCUGCUGUGGAUAGAAAGGUGGAGUUUGCCGGUUUUUAUUCCACAUGGCCAUGAUGUGAAGUAAAUUCAAGCUCAUCCAUCUAGUGGGGUUUGAAUGGCUACCGACAUCCAUCCUGCAAGAGAAUUGAAAGGAUUUCACUGGGUCCCGCUGGGGCUCCCCACAGAGCCAGAGUAAAAACAGUUUGAGAGAUUUCUCCAUGUGCCGCUGCAAAGAAUACAGAAGAUUUGUCCUUGGAGACAUCCUCAAAGUAUAAUGCAUGGGUCUGGAUUCACCCACGAGAGGAAGGUCAGAGGUGCAUCACUGCUACCGUAGCAGCUCGGUUCAGGAUUACACCUUUCUCUUGAUGUCCAUGUUCCUCUGUCACAUCAGUGACAGAAAUAUUUAUGCCGUUUAAAAGGGUAUUACUCAGAAACCAGUCUGAUCUUUUGCAGCUACAACAGGGAGAAUAAAUGACGAGUCUGAACAUAGAUUUCUGAAAUACAUUCUCACUGUACGUUGGU